rnacentral:rRNA from 1 species
GAUGAACGCUGGCGGCGUGCCUAAUACAUGCAAGUCGAGCGAACGGACGAGAAGCUUGCUUCUCUGAUGUUAGCGGCGGACGGGUGAGUAACACGUGGAUAACCUACCUAUAAGACUGGGAUAACUUCGGGAAACCGGAGCUAAUACCGGAUAAUAUUUUGAUCUGCAUGGUUCAAAAGUAAAAGACGGUCUUGCUGUCACUUAUAGAUGGAUCCGCGCUGCAUUAGCUAGUUGGUAAGGUAACGGCUUACCAAGGCAACGAUGCAUAGCCGACCUGAGAGGGUGAUCGGCCACACUGGAACUGAGACACGGUCCAGACUCCUACGGGAGGCAGCAGUAGGGAAUCUUCCGCAAUGGGCGAAAGCCUGACGGAGCAACGCCGCGUGAGUGAUGAAGGUCUUCGGAUCGUAAAACUCUGUUAUUAGGGAAGAACAUAUGUGUAAGUAACUGUGCACAUCUUGACGGUACCUAAUCAGAAAGCCACGGCUAACUACGUGCCAGCAGCCGCGGUAAUACGUAGGUGGCAAGCGUUAUCCGGAAUUAUUGGGCGUAAAGCGCGCGUAGGCGGUUUUUUAAGUCUGAUGUGAAAGCCCACGACUCAACCGUGGAGGGUCAUUGGAAACUGGAAAACUUGAGUGCAGAAGAGGAAAGUGGAAUUCCAUGUGUAGCGGUGAAAUGCGCAGAGAUAUGGAGGAACACCAGUGGCGAAGGCGACUUUCUGGUCUGUAACUGACGCUGAUGUGCGAAAGCGUGGGGAUCAAACAGGAUUAGAUACCCUGGUAGUCCACGCCGUAAACGAUGAGUGCUAAGUGUUAGGGGGUUUCCGCCCCUUAGUGCUGCAGCUAACGCAUUAAGCACUCCGCCUGGGGAGUACGACCGCAAGGUUGAAACUCAAAGGAAUUGACGGGGACCCGCACAAGCGGUGGAGCAUGUGGUUUAAUUCGAAGCAACGCGAAGAACCUUACCAAAUCUUGACAUCCUUUGACAACUCUAGAGAUAGAGCCUUCCCCUUCGGGGGACAAAGUGACAGGUGGUGCAUGGUUGUCGUCAGCUCGUGUCGUGAGAUGUUGGGUUAAGUCCCGCAACGAGCGCAACCCUUAAGCUUAGUUGCCAUCAUUAAGUUGGGCACUCUAAGUUGACUGCCGGUGACAAACCGGAGGAAGGUGGGGAUGACGUCAAAUCAUCAUGCCCCUUAUGAUUUGGGCUACACACGUGCUACAAUGGACAAUACAAAGGGCAGCGAAACCGCGAGGUCAAGCAAAUCCCAUAAAGUUGUUCUCAGUUCGGAUUGUAGUCUGCAACUCGACUACAUGAAGCUGGAAUCGCUAGUAAUCGUAGAUCAGCAUGCUACGGUGAAUACGUUCCCGGGUCU